rnacentral:rRNA from 1 species
GACGAACGCUGGCGGCGUGCCUAAUACAUGCAAGUAGAACGCUGAAGGAGGAGCUUGCUUCUCUGGAUGAGUUGCGAACGGGUGAGUAAUGCGUAGGUAACCUGCCUGGUAGCGGGGGAUAACUAUUGGAAACGAUAGCUAAUACCGCAUAAUAGUAGAUGUUGCAUGACAUUUGCUUAAAAGGUGCAAUUGCAUCACUACCAGAUGGACCUGCGUUGUAUUAGCUAGUUGGUGGGGUAACGGCUCACCAAGGCGACGAUACAUAGCCGACCUGAGAGGGUGAUCGGCCACACUGGGACUGAGACACGGCCCAGACUCCUACGGGAGGCAGCAGUAGGGAAUCUUCGGCAAUGGACGGAAGUCUGACCGAGCAACGCCGCGUGAGUGAAGAAGGUUUUCGGAUCGUAAAGCUCUGUUGUAAGAGAAGAACGAGUGUGAGAGUGGAAAGUUCACACUGUGACGGUAUCUUACCAGAAAGGGACGGCUAACUACGUG